rnacentral:rRNA from 1 species
CCUACGGGAGGCAGCAGUGAGGAAUAUUGGUCAAUGGGCGCAAGCCUGAACCAGCCAAGUCGCGUGAGGGGAGACGGUCCUAUGGAUUGUAAACUUCUUUUGUCAGGGAACAAAAGACGGCACGCGUGCCUUUCCGAGAGUACUUGAAGAAAAAGCAUCGGCUAACUCCGUGCCAGCAGCCGCGGUAAUACGGAGGAUGCGAGCGUUAUCCGGAUUUAUUGGGUUUAAAGGGUGCGCAGGCGGAAGGUUAAGUCAGCGGUAAAAUUGCGGGGCUCAACCUCUGCGAGCCGUUGAAACUGGCUGUCUUGAGUGAGCGAGAGGUAUGCGGAAUGCGUGGUGUAGCGGUGAAAUGCAUAGAUAUCACGCAGAACUCCGAUUGCGAAGGCAGCAUACCGGCGCUCAACUGACGCUGAUGCACGAAAGUGUGGGUAUCGAACAGGAUUAGAUACCCGUGUAGUC